rnacentral:rRNA from 1 species
UACGUAGGGGGCUAGCGUUGUCCGGAUUUAUUGGGCGUAAAGAGCGUGUAGGCGGCCAGGUAGGUCUGCUGUGAAAACUCGAGGCUCAACCUCGAGACGUCGGCGGAAACCAUCUGGCUAGAGUCCGGAAGAGGAGAGUGGAAUUCCUGGUGUAGCGGCGAAAUGCGCAGAUAUCAGGAAGAACACCCGUGGCGAAGGCGGCGCUCUGGGACGGUACUGACGCUGAGACGCGAAAGCGUGGGGAGCGAACAGG